rnacentral:rRNA from 1 species
UACGUAGGGGGCAAGCGUUGUCCGGAAUCAUUGGGCGUAAAGCGCGUGUAGGCGGCUCAGUUAGUCCGUUGUGAAAGUCCAGGGCUCAACCCUGGAAUGCCGAUGGAUACUGCUGAGCUCGAGUCCGGAAGAGGCGAGUGGAAUUCCUGGUGUAGCGGUGAAAUGCGCAGAUAUCAGGAGGAACACCAAUGGCGAAGGCAGCUCGCUGGGACGGUACUGACGCUGAGACGCGAAAGCGUGGGGAGCAAACAGG